rnacentral:rRNA from 1 species
AUUGAACGCUGGCGGCAGGCCUAACACAUGCAAGUCGAGCGGAUGAGAGGCGCUUGCUUCUCGAUUCAGCGGCGGACGGGUGAGUAAUGCCUAGGAAUCUGCCUGGUAGUGGGGGACAACGUCUCGAAAGGAACGCUAAUACCUCAUACGUCCUACGGGAGAAAGCAGGGGACCUUCGGGCCUUGCGCUAUCAGAUGAGCCUAGGUCGGAUUAGCUAGUUGGUGGGGUAAUGGUUCAACAAGGCGACGAUCCGUAACUGGUCUGAGGGGAGUAUCAGUCACACUGGAACUGAGACACGAUCCAGACUGCUACUGGAGGCAGCAGUGGGGAAUAUUGGACAAUGUGCGAAAGCCUGAUCCAGCCAUGCCGCGUGUGUGAAGAAGGUCUUCGGAUUGUAAAGCACUUUAAGUUGGGAGGAAGGGUUGUAGAUUAAUACUCUGCAAUUUUGACAUUACCGACAGAAUAAGCACCGGCUAACUCUGUGCCAGCCGCCGCCGUAAUAC